AACGAACGCUGGCGGCGUGCCUAACACAUGCAAGUCGAACGUGAUUGAGGUGCUUGCGCCUCAUGAAAGUGGCGCACGGGUGAGUGACGCGUAGAUAAUCUACCUGAUGGAUCGGGAUAACACUCCGAAAGGGGUGCAAAUACCGGAUAAGCCCACGGAGUCUUUGGACACUGCGGGAAAAGGAGGGAACCUUCGGGCCUGCCGUCAUCAGACGAGUCUGCGUACCAUGAGCUAGUGGGUAGGGUAAAGGCCUACCAAGGCGACGAUGGUUAGCUGGUCUGAGAGGAUGAUCAGCCACACUGGAACUGAGACACGGUACAGACUCCUACGGGAGGCAGCAGUGGGGAAUUUUGCGCAAUGGGGGAAACCCUGACGCAGCAACGCCGCGUGAGUGAUGAAGGCCCUUGGGUCGUAAAGCUCUGACAGAGGGAAAGAAAUGUGGGUGGCUAAUAUCCAUUCCGCUUGACGGUACCCUCAAAGGAAGCACCGGCUAACUCCGUGCCAGCCGCCGCCGUAAUAC
rnacentral:rRNA from 1 species